rnacentral:rRNA from 1 species
AGCCAUGCGAGUCGAAUGUAGCAAUACAUGGCGUACUGCUCAGUAACACGUGGACAACCUACCCUUAGGUCGGGGAUAAACCCGGGAAACUGGGUAUAAUACCCGAUAGUGCUCGACUGCUGGAAUGCAUCGAGUACUAAAGCUCCGGCGCCUAAGGAUGGGUCUGCGGCCUAUCAGGUAGUAGUGGGUGUAGCGUACCUACUAGCCUACGACGGGUACGGGUUGUGAGAGCAAGAGCCCGGAGAUGGAUUCUGAGACACGAAUCCAGGCCCUACGGGGUGCAGCAGGCGCGAAAACUUUACAAUGCUGGAAACAGCGAUAAGGGGACCUCGAGUGCCAGGUUACAAAUCUGGCUGUCGUGAUGCCUAAAAAGCAUUGCAUAGCAAGGGCCGGGCAAGACCGGUGCCAGCCGCCGCGGUAACACCGGCGGCUCGAGUGGUAACCGUUAUUAUUGGGUCUAAAGGGUCUGUAGCCGGCCGGAUAAGUCUCUUGGGAAAUCUGGCAGCUUAACUGUCAGGCUUUCAGGGGAUACUGUCUGGCUCGAGGCCGGGAGAGGUGAGAGGUACUUCAGGGGUAGGGGUGAAACCUUGUAAUCCUUGAAGGACCACCAGUGGCGAAGGCGUCUCACCAGAACGGACCUGACGGCAAGGGACGAAAGCUAGGGGCACGAACCGGAUUAGAUACCCGGGUAGUCCUAGCCGUAAACGAUACUCGCUAGGUGUCGGCCACGGUGCGACCGUUGUCGGUGCCGUAGGGAAGCCGUGAAGCGAGCCACCUGGGAAGUACGGCCGCAAGGCUGAAACUUAAAGGAAUUGGCGGGGGAGCACCACAACGGGUGGAGCUUGCGGUUUAAUUGGACUCAACGCCGGAAAG